GAUGAACGCUGGCGGCGUGCUUAACACAUGCAAGUCGAACGAAGCAUUUUAGCGGAACAUUUUCGGAUGGGAAGUUAAAAUGACUGAGUGGCGGACGGGUGAGUAACGCGUGGAUAACCUACCAUAUACAGGGGGACAACAGUUGGAAACGACUGCUAAUACCGCAUAAGCGCACAGUGCCGCAUGGCACGGUGUGAAAAACUCCGGUGGUAUAUGAUGGAUCCGCGUCUGAUUAGCUAGUUGGUGAGGUAACGGCCCACCAAGGCAACGAUCAGUAGCCGACCUGAGAGGGUGACCGGCCACAUUGGGACUGAGACACGGCCCAAACUCCUACGGGAGGCAGCAGUGGGGAAUAUUGCACAAUGGGCGAAAGCCUGAUGCAGCGACGCCGCGUGAGCGAAGAAGUAUUUCGGUAUGUAAAGCUCUAUCAGCAGGGAAGAAAAUGACGGUACCUGACUAAGAAGCCCCGGCUAACUACGUG
rnacentral:rRNA from 1 species